CAGCCGCCGCGGUAAAACGUAGGGUGCAAGCGUUAAUCGGAAUUACUGGGCGUAAAGGGUGCGUAGGCGGUUCGGUAAGUCUUAUGUGAAAUCUUCGGGCUCAACUCGAAGUCUGCAUGAGAAACUGCCGGGCUUGAGUGUGGGAGAGGUGAGUGGAAUUUCCGGUGUAGCGGUGAAAUGCAUAGAUAUCGGAAGGAACACCUGUGGCGAAAGCGGCUCACUGGACAAAGACUGACGCUGAAGCACGAAAGCGUGGGGAGCAAACAGGAUUAGAUACCCCGGUAGUCCCUGUCUCUUAUAA
rnacentral:rRNA from 1 species